rnacentral:misc_RNA from 1 species
GAAACAAGCCCAACCACACGCAAAUCGCGAUAAAUCGUCGAUUUUGUAUAAAAUUAAGCGAUAUUUCUCUCCCGUUCGAGAUAUUUCGACGUUUAAACGCACUUUGCACUGCGUUAUGCGUGCAGAACGUAGUACACGCGUUUUCCGUCGUCGAAACAAGCUCAGAUACACGCAAAUUGCAAUAAUUCGUCGAUUUUGUGGAAAAUUAAGCGAUAUUUCCCACCCGUUUGAGAUAUUUCGACGUUUAAACGCACUUUUCACUGCAUUAUGCGU